GCCCAGGUGUUGGAAUGGUAUACAAGCAUGCUUGAGGUGCAUGUGUCGCAAGACGUGGGAGUUCGAAUCUCCUUCUGGGUA
rnacentral:tRNA from 1 species